UAGGGAAUCUUCGGCAAUGGGGGGAACCCUGACCGAGCAACGCCGCGUGAGUGAAGAAGGUUUUCGGAUCGUAAAGCUCUGUUGUUAAGGAAGAACGAGUGUGAGAAUGGAAAGUUCAUGCUGUGACGGUACUUAACCAGAAAGGGACGGCUAACUACGUGCCAGCAGCCGCGGUAAUACGUAGGUCCCGAGCGUUGUCCGGAUUUAUUGGGCGUAAAGCGAGCGCAGGCGGUUAGAAAAGUCUGAUGUGAAAGCCCCCGGCUCAACCGGGGAGGGUCAUUGGAAACUGGUUGACUUGAGUGCAGAAGAGGAGAGUGGAAUUCCAUGUGUAGCGGUGAAAUGCGUAGAUAUAUGGAGGAACACCAGUGGCGAAGGCGACUCUCUGGUCUGUAACUGACGCUGAGGCUCGAAAGCGUGGGUAGCAAACAGG
rnacentral:rRNA from 1 species